rnacentral:rRNA from 1 species
GAUGAACGCUAGCUACAGGCCUAACACAUGCAAGUCGAGGGGAAACGGCAUUGAGUGCUUGCUCUCUUUGGACGUCGACCGGUGCCCGGGCGUGUAACGCGUAUCCAACUAUCCCAUUACUGUGGGAUAACAUGCCGAAAGGCAGACUAAUACCGCAUAGUCUUCUCUCACGGCAUCAGAUUUUUAGUGAAGACUUAUUGGUAAUGGAUGGGUAAUAGUCUGAUUAGUUUGUUGGCGGGGUAACUGCACACCAAGGCUACGGUCCGGAGGGGUUAUGAGGGGAAGGUCCCCCACAUUGGAACUGGCACACGGUCCAAACUCCUACGGGAGGCAGGAGUGGGGAAUAUUAGUCCAUGGACGGAAGUCUGAACCAGCCAAGGAGCGUGAAGGAUGACGGCCCUUGGGGGUUUAAACUGCUUUUGUAUGGGAAAAAAGUUAGGGACGUGUCCCUAUUUGCAGGAACCAAACGAAAAAGGACCGGCUAAUUCCGU